AAGAACCAAUCUCUUUGACGACAACAUAAACAUCAAAUCGUAUUCACAAUUUUUGGCAAAUAAUCAAAAUUCUAAGUUAUUUCACCUCAAUAGAAAAACUACAAGAAUAUCAAAAAUACAAACCUAAAGACCCAAAAUGAGUUGCUGCCCACCUUGUUGUUCACCCUGCUGCUCCCCUUGCUGUGUACCUUGUUAUCCCUGUUGCGUCCCAUGCGUGUACUACCCAUGUUGUUUCCCCUGCUGUAGUCCCUGCUGUAGUCCGUGCUGUCCUCCCAAAGGGUGCUGCUAGAAGAUAUCCAUGGGUUUAUUGAUUUUAUGAUCAACGAAGUGAGUGUGAGUAUGUCAAAAAUAAAAGCAGGUCAUAAAAGAGAAAAAUAUGGAAACAAAUAAAAAAAAAUUAAAUGGUUUGAAGUUUUUAACUCGAAUAGUGGGCUGGUAUCUGCAAAGACCAACUUUGCUUAUAGCUCUGUGAAGGAUAUUAUGUCUCUCUUGUAUAGAAUUAUUUAUCACUGUAUAAGAUCACUUCGUUUUAAAAUUUGAAAACUAAACAGUGAAUUCUUAACCAAUUUGUUUGACUAGUAAGAUUGUCGUUUAAAUAGUCUUAUAUUGUUCGAUGUUGUGCUAGUAGACAUGAAUUCCUUCCAAUUGGGAUAACAGUUUUGUAGUAUGAAAAUUUAAUAAAUUAAAAAUAAUAUUGUGACUUUGAA
rnacentral:lncRNA from 1 species